AACCUAUGUUGUAUUAGAUUACUACGACAUCCCGAAACUCAAAAGCUUAAAGGACAAAACUGCAAAAAUGACAACAAUGUACCAACAAUCUGGUAAAGCAAGAUUUGACCAAGGUUUCUUGAAUAUGACAGCUAAAGAUGGUAGUUUUGUAUUUGGAUCAGCUGUCAAAGACGCUCAACGCGAUUCAAGGCUCGAAAAAUCUGUUAUGAAUCAGCCUUAUAACAUCUCAGUUCUUGGAAUUUCUCAGCCAUUUGUUACACCUGGACUUGAUGGAACACUUGCACCAGUUUCAACACCACCACCUAAGGCUAAUAAUGCAACAUCUUCACCUAAGAGUUCACCACCUGCUUCUGAUGAUGAAGCAGAGUCCCCUGCUGAAGAAGCAGAGUCCCCUGUUUCUGAAGAAACAGAGGCCCUUGCUCCUUCUAAGGAUGCCGAUACUUCGGCUAGUUCGCCCUCGGCUGAUUCGCCACCGGCUGACGCUCAGGCGCCACCACCGGCAGGAUCAUCUGCUGGGAAAUUGAAGGUUUCCUUUGGUUCGUUUGUUGUUUUGGCAUCAAUGGUUGCAGCUUUUUAAAAAGGGAGUUUUGUGAGGAUGUCCAAGAUUCUUGGAUUGUAGAGAGGAAAAAAUAAAUGAUGGAGUACAUCUUAUGUACAAGACUUUUAGAUGUUAAAACAAUAUGAUUUUCGAAAUAUAUAAGAAGUGUAUACCUUUAUCCAUAGAUGAUCUCUCUUUACGUUGUAAUAACAACAACAAUAAUAAAUACAGCGAAAUCUCACAAAUAAAAUCUGGGAAGAAUAGUGAGUUCGUAGACCUUAUAUCCUAGGAAGGUAGAGGCUGUUAUGCUGAACAACAAUAGUCUUUUCAUCUUGCUCUCUUCUUUAUUCCUUUAGUUAAUUAUAUGUGAGGAAACGUAAUAUUCCCUCCGUUAGUCUCAUUUUAUGUGAUCAUAUUUGAUUGGAAACAUAGCGAAGCAAGAAAUAAAUAUUUUCAAAUUCAUU
rnacentral:lncRNA from 1 species